rnacentral:rRNA from 1 species
GACGAACGCUGGCGGCGUGCUUAACACAUGCAAGUCGAACGGAAAGGCCCUGCUUUUGUGGGGUGCUCGAGUGGCGAACGGGUGAGUAACACGUGAGUAACCUGCCCUGGACUUUGGGAUAACUUCAGGAAACUGGUGCUAAUACCGGAUAGGAGCUCCUGCUGCAUGGUGGGGGUUGGAAAGUUUCGGCGGUUGGGGAUGGACUCGCGGCUUAUCAGCUUGUUGGUGGGGUAGUGGCUUACCAAGGCUUUGGCGGGUAGCCGGCCUGAGAGGGUGACCGGCGACAUUGGGACUGAGAUACGGCCCAGACUCCUACGGGAGGCAGCAGUGGGGAAUAUUGCACAAUGGGCGGAAGCCUGAUGCAGCAACGCCGCGUGCGGGAUGACGGCCUUCGGGUUGUAAACCGCUUUCGCCUGUGACGAAGCGUGAGUGACGGUAAUGGGUAAAGAAGCACCGGCUAACUACGUG